GAGGGAAACCCCAGCAGGGAGACAUUUCCAAAGUGUGUGUGUGGGACAAAAAAGCCCAGAUAGUAAGAUCAGAUUUUCAGAUAUCGGACCACACUGCUGAAAGUGAUAUAUUAUAGUAUAUGUUGUCUGUGCUAUAAUAAACAAACAAAAAAAAAGAGGCGGUUUGUGAUUUUGAUCAGUUUUAAUCCUUUUUAGGACAGGACUAUUACAAUCUUAAACAGGAUCUACAUCCUCCAGAUUUGUAUAAUUCCUUUUAUGUGCAUCAUUUUGUGUCACCUGUGUUGAGAAUCUCAGCAUCACCCAUCUGCCUCCUGGAGAAGAUGCCAGCUGCUGCUCACUAACCGAAACUGAAACAAAGAAACUACUGUUGAUACACAGUUUUUGCACUGCAAUAAUUAUGUAAUAAUAUCCAUUCUACAUAUGUCAAAAUGUAGAUUUAUUGAAAUGAGAGUUUUAUUCAAGUCUGCAUACUUGCAGACUGGUGUGCAAGCAGCCUUGCCUAAAUGUUUUUGUUUUUUUUUGUCGUCAAAUAAUAGUUUGUCAGUUGCUGUGCUUUCACAUUUCAAAAUAAAAAUGUUAUCAAAAAUGAGUAUAAGCAUUGUAAAUGCAGUAAUACAAUUUAUACAUACCAAACACAUAGUCCUCUUCUCUCGUGUCCUCCCCACUGCGCUGCUGGCCGAGGCAAUAAUCACUUUAGAUUUCAAAGGAUAAGUAGCUGUGAACUUCCUUCUGUCAUGAGAAAGUUGCUGUGCAGCUGAUUAUUUAGAGAUAGCAAAGUGCAGAGAACAUCUUCAGCCAAUCAUACAAACCACUCCUUUGUAGAUCUGAUUGUCCUGUUGUGUUGUUGUGUAUUCUCAUGAGAUUAAAACUCUCACAUCCUCAUUUCAGCAUGUGUCAGGUCUGUGUGGAUGUUUACUCUCUUCAGAACAUCACAAGAUUCAGAUGCAGUGGAGAAAGAAAAUCACACAUCCAGAAAACUGCUGGAGCCUCAGAAAUCACAGAGCAGCAGAAAACAAGAAGACAGAGAGAGAAAUGGAGACACAAACCAGUGGACCACGAGAGAGAAGAGGAGAGAGAGCUGUUAAAUGUGUCAGUAUGGAAGGAAUAAUGCCAAACUUCUCAGAUGAUCCAGAAGAUCCUGUAAAGAUUGAUUCUGAUGUCAAAAAUGAGGAGAGAUUCUCUCAUCAAAACCCUUCAUCAUGUUCUCAAGAACACACAACAUCACUGAUGAAGACCAGAACAUCAUCAUCAUCAUCAGAAUACAGUCUGUUCACUUCUGGAUGGUUUCAGCUUUUACAGACUCAUCUGAUCACAAAUAACCAGACUAAUGAACUGAUCCUUAUUAACCAGUGUACAUACAAUAUGUAGAUAGUCUCGAUAGUAUUACUGCAGAUGUAAGGAAGAAAGUAUCAUAUAUUAUUAUUAUUAUUGUAAUAAUUCAAUUACAACACUACGUUCAUAUAUAUGGUUUGAAAUCCUCUUCAAAAAUCAUUUCUGGAAAUCAGUUUCAGUCUGACCACUCUGAUUGGAUUUUGUGUGGUUUAUGUGACUUUCUCACGGCAUGUAAAACAUAAAUUUCAGACGUUGUUAUAGAAAACAUGCUGAAAGUUCCUGCAGAAACAAGUCUACCAACACAACUUCAUGUGAGAAUAUCACAUGGACACAAAUCAGAUCUAAACAGUUGAGAUACAUAAUGAGGAUGUCAAUAAUUUCAGAUCAGAUUCCAGUCGGAUACACAGAUAAUCGGAUUUGGACUGACAGUGUGAACGUAGGUCAGUCCGUUCUGAAUAAAUCCUUUAGUUUAAAGAUGCUCAUGUGAAUAACCUUUAUAUAGUUGUGUUGAGUUUGUGUUUGUUCUGAGAAUAGAAUUUGUCUUUUCCUCACCUGGAUCCCUCCACAAUGUGUAACAUUAUCAUCUCUAUACUGUAAUGAAAUCAUUAAUGUGACGUUCACUACUGUAACUGUGACUGUAUUAUCUGUGCAUAACUGAUCGAUCUUAACUGUGAUGUAGAAAUAUGCAUUUUCCAUGAAGCUGCUUUGAAACAAUGAAGUGCUGUACAAAUAAAUGUAAAAGUGAAGAA